rnacentral:rRNA from 1 species
GCAUAUCAAUAAGCGGAGGAAAAGAAACCAACAGGGAUUGCCUCAGUAGCGGCGAGUGAAGCGGCAAGAGCCCAGAUUUGAAAUCGUGCUUUGCGGCACGAGUUGUAGAUUGCAGGUUGGAGUCUGUGUGGAAGGCGGUGUCCAAGUCCCUUGGAACAGGGCGCCCAGGAGGGUGAGAGCCCCGUGGGAUGCCGGCGGAAGCAGUGAGGCCCUUCUGACGAGUCGAGUUGUUUGGGAAUGCAGCUCCAAGCGGGUGGUAAAUUCCAUCUAAGGCUAAAUACUGGCGAGAGACCGAUAGCGAACAAGUACUGUGAAGGAAAGAUGAAAAGCACUUUGAAAAGAGAGUGAAACAGCACGUGAAAUUGUUGAAAGGGAAGGGUAUUGCGCCCGACAUGGGGAUUGCGCACCGCUGCCUCUCGUGGGCGGCGCUCUGGGCUUUCCCUGGGCCAGCAUCGGUUCUUGCUGCAGGAGAAGGGGUUCUGGAACGUGGCUCUUCGGAGUGUUAUAGCCAGGGCCAGAUGCUGCGUGCGGGGACCGAGGACUGCGGCCGUGUAGGUCACGGAUGCUGGCAGAACGGCGCAACACCGCCCGUCUU